CCUACGUGAGGCAGCAGUGGGGAAUAUUGCGCAAUGGGCGAAAGCCUGACGCAGCGACGCCGCGUGAGGGAUGAAGGUCUUCGGAUCGUAAACCUCUGUCAGCAGGGAAGAACGGUCACUGUGCUAAUCAGCAGUGAAUUGACGGUACCUGCAAAGGAAGCACCGGCUAACUCCGUGCCAGCAGCUGCGGUAAUACGGAGGGUGCGAGCGUUAAUCGGAAUUACUGGGCGUAAAGCGCUCGUAGGCGGUAUGUCAAGUCAAGGGUGAAAUCCCCGCGCUCAACGUGGGUACUGCCUUUGAAACUGGCAAACUGGAGUGUGUGAGAGGAUAGUGGAAUUCCAGGUGUAGGAGUGAAAUCCGUAGAUAUCUGGAGGAACAUCAGUGGCGAAGGCGACUAUCUGGCACAUAACUGACGCUGAGGAGCGAAAGCGUGGGUAGCAAACAGGAUUAGAUACCCCAGUAGUC
rnacentral:rRNA from 1 species